CCUACGGGAGGCAGCAGUGGGGAAUAUUGCACAAUGGGCGCAAGCCUGAUGCAGCCAUGCCGCGUGUAUGAAGAAGGCCUUCGGGUUGUAAAGUACUUUCAGCGGGGAGGAAGGCGGUGAGGUUAAUAACCUCGCCGAUUGACGUUACCCGCAGAAGAAGCCCCGGCUAACUCCGUGCCAGCAGCCGCGGUAAU
rnacentral:rRNA from 1 species